rnacentral:rRNA from 1 species
UGAGUACGAGAGGCUACGGCCUCGAAGCAGUCUAUGUCAUACUUCCAAGAAAAGCUUGCAAUGUCAUGAACACAAUGUCAUAAACAAAUAAUGCCUGUACCAUAACCGACACAGGUGGGUAGGUAGAGUAUACUAAGGGGCGCGAGAUAACUCUCUCUAAGGAACUCGGCAAAAUGACUCCGUAACUUCGGGAGAAGGAGUGCCUUAUUUAUAAGGUUGCAAUAACAAGAUCCAAGCAACUGUUUACCAAAAACACAGGUCUCCGCUAAGUCGUAAGACGAUGUAUGGGGGCUGACGCCUGCCCAGUGCCAGAAGGUUAAAGAAGUUGGUUAGCAUUCGCGAAGCUGAUAACUGAAGCCCUGGUGAACGGCGGCCGUAACAAUAACGGUCCUAAGGUAGCGAAAUUCCUUGUCGGGUAAGUUCCGACCCGCACGAAAGGCGUAAUGAUUUGGAUACUGUCUCGGAGAGAGGCUCGGUGAAAUAGACUUGUCUGUGAAGAUGCGGACUACCUGCACCUGGACAGAAAGACCCUAUGAAGCUUUACUGUAACUUGAAAUUGAAAUUGGACUUUAUUUGCGCAGUAUAGGUGGGAGGCGUUGAUAGUAUUCUUGCGGGAAUAUUGGAGCCAUCAGUGAGAUACCACUCUUGUAAUGUUAGAUUUCUAACUUUGUAUCAUUAUCUGGUCAAAGGACAGUUUCAGGCGGGCAGUUUGACUGGGGCGGUCGCCUCCCAAACGGUAACGGAGGCGUACAAAGGUUUCCUCUGAACGGGUAGAAAUCGUAUCUAGAGUGUAAAGGCAUAAGGAAGCUUGACUGUGAGACCUACAAGUCGAGCAGGGACGAAAGUCGGUCUUAGUGAUCUGACGGUGCUGAGUGGAAAGGCCGUCACUCAACGGAUAAAAGUUACUCUAGGAUAACAGGCUGAUCUCCCCCAAGAGUUCACAUCGACGGGGAGGUUUGGCACCUCGAUGUCGGCUCAUCGCAUCCUGGGGCGGUAGUACGUCCCAAGGGUUGGGCUGUUCGCCCAUGAAAGCGGUACGCGAGCUGGGUUCAGAACGUCGUGAGACAGUUCGGUCCAUAUCCGGUGUAGGCGUUAGAAUAUUGAGAGGAGCCUUCUUUAGUACGAGAGGACCGAGAAGGACAUACCUCUGGUGUACCAGUUAUCGUGCCAACGGUAAACGCUGGGUAGCUAUGUAUGGAGAGGAUAACCGCUGAAAGCAUCUAAGUGGGAAGCCCACCUCAAGAUAAG